rnacentral:rRNA from 1 species
GACGAACGCUGGCGGCGUGCCUAAUACAUGCAAGUUGAGCGCUGAAGGUUGGUACUUGUACCAACUGGAUGAGCAGCGAACGGGUGAGUAACGCGUGGGGAAUCUGCCUUUGAGCGGGGGACAACAUUUGGAAACGAAUGCUAAUACCGCAUAAAAACUUUAAACACAAGUUUUAAGUUUGAAAGAUGCAAUUGCAUCACUCAAAGAUGAUCCCGCGUUGUAUUAGCUAGUUGGUGAGGUAAAGGCUCACCAAGGCGAUGAUACAUAGCCGACCUGAGAGGGUGAUCGGCCACAUUGGGACUGAGACACGGCCCAAACUCCUACGGGAGGCAGCAGUAGGGAAUCUUCAGCAAUAGACGAAAGUCUGACCGAGCAACGCCGCGUGAGUGAAGAAGGUUUUCGGAUCGUAAAACUCUGUUGGUAGAGAAGAACGUUGGUGAGAGUGGAAAGCUCAUCAAGUGACGGUAACUACCCAGAAAGGGACGGCUAACUACGUG